rnacentral:rRNA from 1 species
CUACGGGAGGCAGCAGUGAGGAAUAUUGGUCAAUGGGCGAGAGCCUGAACCAGCCAUGCCGCGUGCAGGAAGACGGCCCUAUGGGUUGUAAACUGCUUUUUUAUGGGAAGAAAAGGCUCUACGUGUAGGGCACUGACGGUACCAUAUGAAUAAGCAUCGGCUAACUCCGUGCCAGCAGCCGCGGUAAUACGGAGGAUGCGAGCGUUAUCCGGAUUUAUUAGGUUUAAAGGGUGUGUAGGCGGAAGACUAAGUCAGUGGUGAAAUCUCUCGGCUUAACCGAGAAACUGCCAUAGAUACUGGUUUUCUUGAGUACAGUUGAAGUAGGCGGAAUGUGUAAUGUAGCGGUGAAAUGCUUAGAUAUUACACAGAACACCGAUUGCGAAGGCAGCUUGCUAAGCUGUUACUGACGCUGAUGCACGAAAGCGUGGGGAGCGAACAGGAUUAGAUACCCCGGUAGC